rnacentral:rRNA from 1 species
GCCUAACACAUGCAAGUCGAACGAGAAUCGACGGAUUGAGGCUUCGGCUGAUUGAAGUUGAGGAAAGUGGCGAACGGGUGAGUAACGCGUGAGAAACCUGCCUUUCAGUGGGGGACAACAGUUGGAAACGACUGCUAAUACCGCGUAAUGUAUCGAGGGGGCAUCCCUUUGAUACCAAAGCUUUAUGUGCUGAAAGAUGGUCUCGCGUCUGAUUAGCUAGUUGGCGGGGUAACGGCCCACCAAGGCGACGAUCAGUAGGCGGUCUGAGAGGAUUAACGGCCACAUUGGGACUGAGAUACGGCCCAGACUCCUACGGUAGGAAGCAGUGGGGAAUAUUGGGCAAUGGGGGAAACCCUGACCCAGCAACGCCGCGUGAAGGAAGAAGGCCUUCGGGUUGUAAACUUCUUUUAGCAGGGACGAAGGACGUGACGGUACCUGCAGAAAAAGCAACGGCUAACUACGUGCCAGCCGCCGCAGUAAAAC